UAAUACGUAGGGGGCGAGCGUUGUCCGGAUUUAUUGGGCGUAAAGAGCUCGUAGGCGGCUGUUCGAGUCGGGUGUGAAACCCCAGGGCUUAACUCUGGGCCUGCAUUCGAUACUGGGCGGCUUGAGUCUGGUAGGGGGAUCUGGAAUUCCUGGUGUAGCGGUGGAAUGCGCAGAUAUCAGGAGGAACACCGGUGGCGAAGGCGGGAUCCUGGGCCAGUACUGACGCUGAGGAGCGAAAGCGUGGGGAGCAAACAGGAUUAGAUACCCUGGUAGUCCACGCUGUAAACGAUGGGUGCUAGGUGUGGGGGGUUAUCGACUCCCUCCGUGCCGCAGCUAACGCAUUAAGCACCCCGCCUGGGGAGUACGGCCGCAAGGCUA
rnacentral:rRNA from 1 species